rnacentral:other from 1 species
AUCAGGCUUCACCCUCGCAUCCUACUUACGCGAUGGACCGAUGCAUACUAUAUGGGAGCUUUACAUUGCUGGUGAAAUGGGGAUUCGCGUCCGUUGACGCGAAAGCCAGGAAGGCAGCUGCGAGCACCCACCUUUACAGGUGGGUUCAUCCUUAGAUCGGGGGUGGGGCCUUUCU